rnacentral:tRNA from 3 species
AAAAAGAUAAGCUAAUUAAGCUACUGGGUUCAUACCCCAUUUAUGAAAGUUUUAAUCUUUCUCUUUUUA